rnacentral:misc_RNA from 1 species
GAUGAAGAACGUAGCGAAAUGCGAUACUUGGUGUGAAUUGCAGAAUCCCGUGAACCAUCGAGUCUUUGAACGCAAGUUGCGCCCGAAGCCAUCAGGUUGAGGCCACGUCUGCCUGGGCGUCACAUAUCGUUGCCCAAUGCCUAUUGCAGUGCAAUAGGAAUUUCUAGGGCGAAUGAUGGCUUCCCGUGAGCGUUGUUGCCUCGCGGUUGGUUGAAAAUCGAGUCCUUGGUAGGGUGUGCCAUGGUAGAUGGUGGUCGAGUUAGAACGAUACCGAUCAUGUGCAUGCUCCCCAAAAUAUGGCCUCUAUGACCCACACGCGUCUUUUGACGCUCAUGACGAGACCUCAGGUCAGGCGGGGCUACCCGCUGAAUUUAAGCAUAUCAAUAAGCGGAGGA